rnacentral:rRNA from 1 species
UGAAGGAGAAGGUAGAAGCUUGCUUUUACUGGAGACUGGCGGACGGGUGAGUAACCCGUAGAUAACCUGCCUAUAGCUGGGGGAUAACACUGCCAAAGUGGUGCUUAUACCGCAUAAUGCAGCGGGGCCCCAUGGCCAUAGUUGUUAAAGGUUUCCGCCGGCUAUAGAUGGGUCUGCCUGCUAUUAGUUAGUUGGUAGGGUAACGGCCUACCAAGGCGAUGAUAGCUAGGGGGUCUGAGAGGAUGAUCCCCCACACUGGGACUGAGACCCGGCCCAGACUCCUACGGGAGGCAACAGUGAGGAAUCUUGCGCAAUGGGCGAAAGCCUGACGCAGCCACGCCCCGUGCCGGAUGAAGGCCCCAUGGGUUGUAAACGGCUUUUACUAGGGAAGAACGAGAGGGUUUCGAUCUUCUGUGACGGUACCUAGUGAAUAAGCACCGGCUAACUCCGUGCCAGCAGCCGCGGUAAUACGGAGGGUGCAAGCGUUGUCCGGAAUCAUUGGGUGUAAAGGGUACGUAGGCGGGAGCCUAAGUCUGGGGUGAAAUCUUGCCGCUUAACGGUAAAAUGGCCUUGGAUACUGGGUUUCUUGAGUGCAGAAGAGGCCGGUGGAAUUCGUGGUGUAGCGGUGAAAUGCUUAGAUAUCACGAAGAACAUCAGUGGCGAAGGCGGCCUGCUGGUCUGCAACUGACGCUGAGGUACGAAAGCGUGGGGAGCGAACAGGAUUAGAUACCCUGGUAG